GUUAGCGCGGUGGGGGUGGUGGUGGGAAUACGGAGGAUGGGAGCGUUAGCCGGGAUCAUUGGGUUGAAAGGGUCCGUGAGCGGGCGUAUAAGUCAGUGGUGAAAUCUCCCAGCUCAACUGGGAAACUGCCAUUGAUACUGUAGGUCUUGAAUAUGUGUGAAGUAACUAGAAUAUGUAGUGUAGCGGUGAAAUGCUUAGAUAUUACAUGGAAUACCAAUUGCGAAGGCAGGUUACUAACAAAUUAUUGACGCUGAUGGACGCAAGCGUGGGGAGCGAACAGGAUUAGAUACCCCGGUAGUC
rnacentral:rRNA from 1 species